rnacentral:lncRNA from 13 species
CUGUUGGGACCGUCGACGUCCAGACGAACCGUGAGAACAUCCCGCCUCGACGAGGAGCGUUCGUGUUGAGACACAUACAAAGGAAACGAAUAUUCGACUGAAUACACAGAUAACUCGCUGCAACGUAACGUCACUUCAAGAAGACAAGAAAAUUGAUAAAUAAAGAGAGAACUGAGAGAGGAUCGCAAUUUUUCAAACAAAUAGCAACUAUUUCUGCCCGGAGUAGUAAACGAAAGAAGAAUCGAAACACACAGAAAUAAAAUUAAGUGCAGGAAAGCAUAUUGUAAUAAUAUUGUUGUGCAUAAAACUUACAAAUCGAUGUGAAAUGACGGUUUAAAACUUAAGCAAUUAAAGAAAUUGGUUUAAAUACGACUUAAAAUAAUAAUUCAGCAGGAAAGUAUGAAGAAGUUCUUUUUGAAAGAGUG